UUUAAUUUUAUUAAUGGCUAAUAACUCAUUUACUUUAAACAUAAUUGACAGAGUUUCCAUUAAAUAACUGUGGGAAAUUCGCAAACCAAACAAAACUUCUUGCGUUGCUGUUUCAUCAUAUCAUAACUCAAUUUACUAAACAAACUGUAUUGACACAUAUUGACAGUAAACGUUAACUUAAUAUUUGUUUGCAAAGCCCCUUUCCGAAAGCUUUUAAUGUGUUUUUAUUAGAGCGACAACGUUGAAAGUAUAUUAAGUGUAUAAUCUAUGGUUGAAAGUAUUCCAUUGUAAAUGUAAUUUGCAUAACCGAUUUUAGUUUCUGUAUUGGCUCAUUGUUCUACAGAACAGUGGCUCGAAAAUAAUUUAGAUAGGUAUUCCGAAUUUAUUCAAAACAUUAUGUACCGGAUUAAUAUCUUGUAUAUUUUUUUGAACAGAUAAUAUUAUAAUAAAAGACGUAACAUGUCACAGUUCUGGCAGAACCUCGUAAUUUGUUCCUGUCAACGACCUGAGUGCCUAUUGAUUUGUGUACGACUCCCAAUCCAUUCCUACAAAAAUUGUUACCUAUAGUGUCCAAAUUACUAUAUAAAAUUUGUACUUUGGUUUACAAGUAAGCCUAAAAUCCCUAAAAUACUAAUGUAGUAUGGAAUUAAUUAAUCAAAAAUUUAUGACAAUUAUCUGUGGUUUAAAAAAAGUCUGACGUAAACCUAACCUAGAAUGUAAGUUUUGUGGAUCGACAGCUGAUAUUAUAGUCGAAAUAAUAAAAUCCGUACCUACAUACCUACAUAUUAUUAUGUAAUUUCCUAAAUUAGUAUGACACAUAUAAAGCAGUCGUAGAAGACUAAUGUAAAACUUCGUAACACAAUUCUGUGCUACGACGUUGUACGGUCACAAACUUUGUGACCGCGAAGUCUCGGAGGGUUAUCCAGGGAUUAAACUUAAAAAUUACGAAACUUAACGGCGUUGCUUAAAAACGAAAAUAAUGAGCGAUAUUAAAAUUGUAAGUCCUCAUUACAUAUUAAUUAGUUAACUGUAAAAUGAUAGUCACUUUUGUUUUAGUUAACAAAACAACAAAUCUGUGUCAUCAUUAAUUAAAUUAAGGCUUUUUUAUGAAAUUAACACGACAAUGUAUUAAUUGUUCGUGCAUUGGCGUCAUGAAACUCUUACUUUUAUCACAAACGUGGAAUGAUUAUUUCCUCUGAUGACCUAGGAAUAGAGUCCUGAUUCGUUUGACGGUUUCUUUCAUUCCUGUAAACGCAGUGAAUUUUCUAGAACACAAGUUAUAUUUGACUAUCCCAAAAAGUGAGACAUGUUAAGCUAACACUAGCCAAGCUAGCGGCUUAACUGUUGGAUAAUUAAAAUUUAAUGAUAUGCAUAUUUUAAACAUUAAUAUAAUCAUACUAUUACUAAUGUUUAAAAGAUGACGAUAAUUCAUUAAUAUGAACAAGUACAAGUGUUUUUUCCCCAUAGUUGUUUUAACAAAGCGUAUAAUAAAUUACUUAAUAUGGUGAUCUAUGUUUAGCUCUUUUGUGAGAUUAAUAAUAGAUAAUCAGAAAUACGUUAAAACACUAUUAAACAAUAUGGUUCUGGAAAUAA